rnacentral:rRNA from 1 species
AGCGAACGCUGGCGGCAGGCCUAACACAUGCAAGUCGAACGAACCUUUCGGGGUUAGUGGCGGACGGGUGAGUAACACGUGGGAACGUGCCUUUAGGUUCGGAAUAACUCAGGGAAACUUGUGCUAAUACCGAAUGUGCCCUUCGGGGGAAAGAUUUAUCGCCUUUAGAGCGGCCCGCGUCUGCUUAGCUAGUUGGUUGAGGUAAUGGCUCACCAAGGCGACGAUCAGUAGCUGGUCUGAGAGGAUGAUCAGCCACAUUGGGACUGAGACACGGCCCAAACUCCUACGGGAGGCAGCAGUGGGGAAUCUUGCGCAAUGGGCGAAAGCCUGACGCAGCCAUGCCGCGUGAAUGAUGAAGGUCUUAGGAUUGUACAAUUCUUUCACCGGGGACGAUAAUGACGGUACCCGGAGAAGAAGCCCCGGCUAACUUCGUG